UUCCAGAAUUUCCCUGUAUCUAUCUAUUUCAUUCUCCCCUGCGUAUUACUAUGAAAAUUUUUCUUUUAGCUCUAAAAUUUCUUUCUCGUCUUCGAAGGAACAAUGAAGAUUUUAUUUCAGCUCAAACGAAUUGCGAAUUCAUGUUUGAUUGGAUAGGAGGAAUCAAAGGAGCGAGAUAAAAUGUCUAUUAAUGCUCGGAGACGCUAAAGUUGAUGAAAAGGGAAAUGUUCUCGAUGUGAAAGAUUUUAAUGUCAUGUACAUGGAUAAGGAAGGUGGAGAUCGUAAAUAAAUUUUUGUAGCUGUUUCGGCUAGUACUACAACGUUGUGCUGUCUUUUGAAAAAGGUCGAUUUUAGUAAGCCUCAAAAUGGCAGUUGCUAGGAUGUCAUAGACGUUUGGGUACACGUCAGCCCGGUCAAGCUUUCGUGGACGUUGUUGAGACACAAAUGUUCUUUGACUACUAGCCAGAAAUUUGUUUUACUUGGUAAAAGAUAUAGUACUUCUGAAAGUAAAGACCAUCUGUUUGGAAGUAGUAAUUUGUGAAACUUUUGGGUCUAUCCAUUUUGAUUUAUGUAUGGAUAAUACUUUUUGUAUGGCGGGCAUUGAAAGAAUUGGUAAUUAUUCGUAUGCCCUUUUGUUUUGGUGUGAUACUUGGUAUGUUUGUGUUAUUUCAUUUACCUAAAUACUAAUAUGGUUCUUUUAUUAGCAUAAAAGCUCAGUUCGUUUGUAUUUA